rnacentral:snRNA from 1 species
UGGUUUCUCUUCAGAUCGUGUAGAUCUUUCACUUUUUACUAAAGAUUUCCAUGGAGAAGAACAUUAAA